UGGGGAAUUUUGGACAAUGGGCGCAAGCCUGAUCCAGCCAUGCCGCGUGCGGGAAGAAGGCCUUCGGGUUGUAAACCGCUUUUGUCAGGGAAGAAAUCUUCUGAGUUAAUACCUCGGGAGGAUGACGGUACCUGAAGAAUAAGCACCGGCUAACUACGUGCCAGCAGCCGCGGUAAUACGUAGGGUGCAAGCGUUAAUCGGAAUUACUGGGCGUAAAGCGUGCGCAGGCGGUUUUGUAAGACAGAGGUGAAAUCCCCGGGCUCAACCUGGGAACUGCCUUUGUGACUGCAAGGCUUGAGUGCGGCAGAGGGGGAUGGAAUUCCGCGUGUAGCAGUGAAAUGCGUAGAUAUGCGGAGGAACACCGAU
rnacentral:rRNA from 1 species